rnacentral:rRNA from 1 species
UAGGGAAUCCUCCACAAUGGACGCAAGUCUGAUGGAGCAACGCCGCGUGAGUGAAGAAGGUCUUCGGAUCGUAAAACUCUGUUGUUAGAGAAGAACACGAGUGAGAGUAACUGUUCAUUCGAUGACGGUAUCUAACCAGCAAGUCACGGCUAACUACGUACCAG